GCGCCUGUAGCUCAGGGGAUAGAGCAAUGGUUUCCGGUACCAUGUGGCGGGGGUUCGAAUCCCUCCAGACGCA
rnacentral:tRNA from 1 species